rnacentral:rRNA from 1 species
CAUCCCGGCUUACCAACCCGAUGCAAACUGCGAAUACCGGAGAAUGUUAUCACGGGAGACACACGGCGGGUGCUAACGUCCGUCGUGAAGAGGGAAACAACCCAGACCGCCAGCUAAGGUCCCAAAGUCAUGGUUAAGUGGGAAACGAUGUGGGAAGGCCCAGACAGCCAGGAUGUUGGCUUAGAAGCAGCCAUCAUUUAAAGAAAGCGUAAUAGCUCACUGGUCGAGUCGGCCUGCGCGGAAGAUGUAACGGGGCUAAACCAUGCACCGAAGCUGCGGCAGCGAACGUAUCACCCAAGACAACUUUACGGAGUUGACGAUUGACGGAGCGAAGCGACGUCAAAGCGUUCAUUAAAGUCGAGUUGGCUUAGGGAUACGUUCGUUGGGUAGGGGAGCGUUCUGUAAGCCUGUGAAGGUGUGUCGUGAGGCAUGCUGGAGGUAUCAGAAGUGCGAAUGCUGACAUAAGUAACGAUAAAGCGGGUGAAAAGCCCGCUCGCCGGAAGACCAAGGGUUCCUGUCCAACGUUAAUCGGGGCAGGGUGAGUCGACCCCUAAGGCGAGGCCGAAAGGCGUAGUCGAUGGGAAACGGGUUAAUAUUCCCGUACUUGGUGUUACUGCGAAGGGGGGACGGAGAAGGCUAUGUUGGCCGGGCGACGGUUGUCCCGGUUUAAGCGUGUAGGUGUGUGUUCCAGGUAAAUCCGGUU